UGUAGGAGCGAGCCUGCUCGCGAUGGCGAUGUGUCAGGCAAUUCAAUGUCGACUGAUACGGCCUCAUCGCGAGCAGGCUCGCUCCUACA
rnacentral:antisense_RNA from 1 species